rnacentral:lncRNA from 1 species
ACACAGCUACUUAUGGUUUUUACUUUUUGAAGGCUGUCAGUUUACCUGGACACGCUUACCCAAGGCUAUGUGGAUUCCCCAGCUGUUUAUUCGCUGGUACUCCAACAUACUCUAAAAAAACAUGGACCACCGGUCAUGGUUCCGUCCUUUUUGCAAAAUGUUGAUGAUUUGUUGUUAUGUAGCCCUAGCUAUGAGGCAAGCACUGUGGAUACUGUCAGCAACUGUAGGUCACAAGGUUGUUAAACACAAAAUGCAAUUGUGUAAAUCAAAGGUUGAUUACUUAGGUUUUGUUCUGGCUUCAGGCACCAGACAAUUGAGUCCAAAACGUAUUGAGGUCAUUCAGAGGAUUCCAACACCCACUACUCGGAAGGAGUUGCUCACCUUCCUCGGCAUGAUUAAUUACUGCCACCAAUGGAUCCCUGAAUGCUCCCAUUAUGACUCAAUCCUAAGGGAGGCUGUACGUUCUGACAGCCCUGAAAAUGUCUGCUGGUCACCAGACAUGCUAGCUGCAUAUAUUGCCCUUACAGUUGUUAUUGUGCAAACCCAGGCUUUAGGACAACUUGUGUAUUG